rnacentral:rRNA from 1 species
AGACCCGAAACCCGGUGAUCUAGCCAUGGGCAGGUUGAAGGUUGGGUAACACUAACUGGAGGACCGAACCGACUAAUGUUGAAAAAUUAGCGGAUGACCUGUGGCUGGGGGUGAAAGGCCAAUCAAACCGGGAGAUAGCUGGUUCUCCCCGAAAGCUAUUUAGGUAGCGCCUCGUGAAUUCAUCUCCGGGGGUAGAGCACUGUUUCGGCUAGGGGGCCAUCCCGGCUUACCAACCCGAUGCAAACUGCGAAUACCGGAGAAUGUUAUCACGGGAGACACACGGCGGGUGCUAACGUCCGUCGUGAAGAGGGAAACAACCCAGACCGCCAGCUAAGGUCCCAAAGUCAUGGUUAAGUGGGAAACGAUGUGGGAAGGCCCAGACAGCCAGGAUGUUGGCUUAGAAGCAGCCAUCAUUUAAAGAAAGCGUAAUAGCUCACUGGUCGAGUCGGCCUGCGCGGAAGAUGUAACGGGGCUAAACCAUGCACCGAAGCUGCGGCAGCGAACGUAUCACCCAAGACAACUUUACGGAGUUGACGAUUGACGGAGCGAAGCGACGUCAAAGCGUUCAUUAAAGUCGAGUUGGCUUAGGGAUACGUUCGUUGGGUAGGGGAGCGUUCUGUAAGCCUGUGAAGGUGUGUCGUGAGGCAUGCUGGAGGUAUCAGAAGUGCGAAUGCUGACAUAAGUAACGAUAAAGCGGGUGAAAAGCCCGCUCGCCGGAAGACCAAGGGUUCCUGUCCAACGUUAAUCGGGGCAGGGUGAGUCGACCCCUAAGGCGAGGCCGAAAGGCGUAGUCGAUGGGAAACGGGUUAAUAUUCCCGUACUUGGUGUUACUGCGAAGGGGGGACGGAGAAGGCUAUGUUGGCCGGGCGACGGUUGUCCCGGUUUAAGCGUGUAGGUGUGUGUUCCAGGUAAAUCCGGUUCACUUUAACACUGAGGCGUGACGACGAGGCACUACGGUGCUGAAGCAACAAAUGCCCUGCUUCCAGGAAAAGCCUCUAAGCAUCAGGUAACACGAAAUCGUACCCCAAACCGACACAGGUGGUCAGGUAGAGAAUACCAAGGCGCUUGAGAGAACUCGGGUGAAGGAACUAGGCAAAAUGGUGCCGUAACUUCGGGAGA